UUCAAAUUGUCUCAUCAGUGUCUGCUGUGUUCUAUCAAAUUGUAUCAGGCUAGGUGUAACGUGAAAGAUCCUGACACAUUGUAAACACAUUGAAGGAACCUCUGCAAUGGAGCAUUAAUGAACUGCCCAAAGCCUAGACGAAGUCACAGCAGGGAGGAUAUUCGGCCAACAUUACACACACUGGAAGACUGUGUAGAAUCUGUUAAGCCUCAGAUGACAGUGGGAGAAAAUGACAGUGAUGAGGCUCCUCUCCCACUAGCUGCCUUUAAGAUGGAGAAGAUGAAGCUGGUUGCUCAGGACAUGUGGAGAUGUGGACAUGAGGCGGAGAUGGACUUCAUGCUCUCCUAUUUAAGAAGUCGUCUGGAUGAUGUCCGACAGCCACACGGUCUACUCUCAAUGCAGGAAAUAGGCUCAUGGAUAUGGAUAUAUAUAUGGAUGUUACCUGUAGCCAUUUCAAUAUGUGUGGCCUACUUCAAUGAUGGGUUGACUUUCACAAAAUGGACACUGUCGGCAGAUCACCUUAUGGUGCUAGUGCUAGUCUAGCAUGGUCAAGUAGAAGAGGAGUUCUCAGUUAUUUAUUUUCCAGAAUGUUUCGGUCAAGGAUUCCCAGGACACCAGAACACCAGGUCACAUGCUACUUCGUAUGCACCCACACACAAGUAAGCACACACAUGCACACACACACUUACAGUACACAGAAUGAGUUGCAAGAGUAGAGGAUGGAGUACUUCGUAUGCACACACACUCAAGCAAACACACACAUGCACAUGCACAGUCACUUUACACAGAAUGAGUUGCAAGAGUAGGGGAUGGAGUACUUAGUAUGCACACAAACACACACACUCACUUACACACACACAAGCAAACACACACAUGCACAUGCUCACAGAAUGAGUUACAGUACAAGAGUAGGAGAUGGAGACAAAUGGAUGGGCAUCAUUUAUUUAUGCACAGAGAAUAUGCGGGACUAUGCGACGGUAAUUAUUUUGUACUCCUAUGCAGUACAGUUACUUAUAUCUUGCAUAUACUGUAUCUAUCUGUGUAUUAUAUUCAUGAGUUUCCUUAUUAUUUUUGUCAUUACUGUUCUAUCAUUAUUACUGUUAUUGAGUUGAUUGAGAUAAUUACAGCAAUUUCCCAUGCAUUGUGUAUAAACUGCAGGACAGUGUUUUAUGCAAGUUAAAAAAACAAAACCAUGUAUUAACCGCACCUGUGUAUUAUCCCAGUGCCCAAUAAGCAAAUUAAUCAGAAUCAGAUCAGGCUUUAAUCAUAAAGAAGAAUGAAGAAGGGAAUGCAUUUCCCCGUAUGUGUGUGGAUAUGCCCCCGUGUAUUAACUUCAUAGCUGAAGUUUACAGAGUAAACCUCGGUUUGUAGUUGGGAAUUUACAGCAUAAGUUGGCUGAGUAGAAGAGGUCUUGUCUGUUCCUGUUGUUCCUGUGCUCGUCUAUGUGUGACUCUUGUUCCUUAAAGACAAGGGGGCAUGAAAUGUUUGUGUGUGUGUGUGUCUAUGUGCAUCUUACAAUUACUAUUACACUUUGCAUUACAACUGUUACAUCAUUAAGAUAGUGAAUAAUUAGUGUUGCAGCACAGAGGGCUUUGGUAGCUUCAGUAAUCAAGGAUGUUUGGUAGUGUGGCCCUCUGCAGUUAGUUCUUUUCCCUGUGGACUCUUAUGUGAGUGUACGGACCACAAGCACUUUUUUGUAAAAUAAUUUGUAAUUUGUUUUAGACAACACAAACAAAGAUUAUGUGAAUGUGUUGUGCUGCAUUGUUUGUAACAACAUGUAUUUACAAAAAUGCUCCAGCCUUCAUUAAAUAAUUUUUUUUA